CAGCAGCCGCGGUAAUACAGAGGGUGCGAGCGUUAAUCGGAUUUACUGGGCGUAAAGCGUGCGUAGGCGGCUUCUUAAGUCGGAUGUGAAAUCCCUGAGCUUAACUUAGGAAUUGCAUUCGAUACUGGGAAGCUAGAGUAUGGGAGAGGAUGGUAGAAUUCCAGGUGUAGCGGUGAAAUGCGUAGAGAUCUGGAGGAAUACCGAUGGCGAAGGCAGCCAUCUGGCCUAAUACUGACGCUGAGGUACGAAAGCAUGGGGAGCAAACAGGAUUAGAUACCCGUGUAGUCCCUGUCUCUUAUAA
rnacentral:rRNA from 1 species